GGAUAUAAGUCCAUGUAUUGGCAUUCUGUUUCCUUUUGUUUUUGUUGUUAGGAGUCGGAUAUAAGUCCAUGUAUUGGCAUUUUGUUUCCUUGUUUGUUAUUGUUAGGAGUCGGGCGUAAGUCCAUGUAUUGGCAUUCUGUUUCCUUUUGAGUGUUUCUUUUGAUGUCUCAGCGUCUCUUUUGUGGUGUCUUGUUCCAGCGUGCGUUAGCCGAGCUACGAGUGCUCUGAUUCUCCUCUGGAUAGAGAAGAUACAUAGGCAUAAGACGCCAUGUCUUAG
rnacentral:lncRNA from 1 species